rnacentral:rRNA from 1 species
CCUACGGGUGGCAGCAGUGAGGAAUAUUGGUCAAUGGGCGAGAGCCUGAACCAGCCAAGUCGCGUGAAGGAUGACGGAUCUAUGGAUUGUAAACUUCUUUUAUCUGGGAGUAAAGUGCGGAACGUGUUCCUUUUUGUAUGUACCAUAUGAAUAAGCAUCGGCUAACUCCGUGCCAGCAGCCGCGGUAAUACGGAGGAUGCGAGCGUUAUCCGGAUUUAUUGGGUUUAAAGGGUGCGUAGGUGGUAAAUUAAGUCAGCGGUGAAAUUUUGUGGCUCAACCAUAAAAUUGCCGUUGAAACUGGUUGACUUGAGUGUAUUAGAGGUAGGCGGAAUGCGUGGUGUAGCGGUGAAAUGCAUAGAUAUCACGCAGAACUCCGAUUGGGAAGGCAGCUUACCAGAGUAUAACUGACGCUGAUGCACGAAAGCGUGGGGAUCAAACAGGAUUAGAUACCCCAGUAGUC